UGGGGAAUUUUGGACAAUGGGGGCAACCCUGAUCCAGCCAUGCCGCGUGAGUGAAGAAGGCCUUCGGGUUGUAAAGCUCUUUUGGUCGGGAAGAAAGCGCCUUGCCUAAUACGCGAGGUGGUUGACGGUACCGGCAGAAUAAGCACCGGCUAACUACGUGCCAGCAGCCGCGGUAAUACGUAGGGUGCGAGCGUUAAUCGGAAUUACUGGGCGUAAAGCGUGCGCAGGCGGUUCGUUAAGUCUGAUGUGAAAGCCCCGGGCUCAACCUGGGAAUGGCAUUGGAAACUGGCGGGCUGGAGUAUGGCAGAGGGGGGUGGAAUUCCACGUGUAGCAGUGAAAUGCGUAGAGAUGUGGAGGAACACCGAUGGCGAAGGCAGCCCCCUGGGCCAAUACUGACGCUCAGGCACGAAAGCGUGGGGAGCAAACAGG
rnacentral:rRNA from 1 species